UGGUGAAGACAGGGGCGUCCGGCAAAGCCGGGCUGAGAAGCACCCUUAGAACCUGAACCAGAUCAUGCUGGCGGAGGGAGUCGUCUGGGCGUUCAA
rnacentral:ncRNA from 2 species